rnacentral:rRNA from 1 species
UACGGAGGGGGCUAGCGUUGUUCGGAAUUACUGGGCGUAAAGCGCACGUAGGCGGCUUUGUAAGUUAGAGGUGAAAGCCCGGGGCUCAACUCCGGAAUUGCCUUUAAGACUGCAUCGCUUGAACGUCGGAGAGGUGAGUGGAAUUCCGAGUGUAGAGGUGAAAUUCGUAGAUAUGCGGAGGAACACCGAUGGCGAAGGCAAUCCCCUGGGCCUGCACUGACGCUGAGGCACGAAAGCGUGGGGGAGCAAACAGG